rnacentral:rRNA from 1 species
AUUGAACGCUGGCGGCAUGCUUUACACAUGCAAGUCGAACGGUAACAGGGAGCUUGCUCCGCUGACGAGUGGCGAACGGGUGAGUAAUGCAUCGGAACGUGCCUAUUUGUGGGGGAUAACGUAGCGAAAGUUACGCUAAUACCGCAUACGCCCUGAGGGGGAAAGCGGGGGGAUUCGUAAGAACCUCGCGCAAUUAGAGCGGCCGAUGUCGGAUUAGCUAGUUGGUCGGGGUAAAGGCUCACCAAGGCGACGAUCCGUAGCGGGUCUGAGAGGAUGAUCCGCCACACUGGGACUGAGACACGGCCCAGACUCCUACGGGAGGCAGCAGUGGGGAAUUUUGGACAAUGGGCGAAAGCCUGAUCCAGCCAUGCCGCGUGAGUGAAGAAGG